UACGUAGGGUGCGAGCGUUAAUCGGAAUUACUGGGCGUAAAGCGUGCGCAGGCGGUUUUGUAAGCCAGAUGUGAAAUCCCCGGGCUUAACCUGGGAAUGGCAUUUGGGACUGCAAGGCUUGAGUGCGGCAGAGGAGACUGGAAUUCCUGGUGUAGCAGUGAAAUGCGUAGAGAUCGGGAGGAACACCUGUGGCGAAGGCGGCCCCCUGGGCCGGCCCUGACACUGAGACGCGAAGGCGUGGGGAGCGAACGGG
rnacentral:rRNA from 1 species